UNGGAGUUUGGCCCAGGACCAUGCCCCUGC
rnacentral:piRNA from 1 species